rnacentral:rRNA from 1 species
AUGUCUACUAGCCGUUGGGGCCUUUGAGGCUUUAGUGGCGCAGCUAACGCGAUAAGUAGACCGCCUGGUGAGUACGGUCGCAAGACUAAAACUCAAAUGAAUUGACGGGGGCCCGCACAAGCGGUGGAGCAUGUGGUUUAAUUCGAUGCAACGCGAAGAACCUUACCUGGCCUUGACAUACUAGAAACUUUCCAGAGAUGGAUUGGUGCCUUCGGGAAUCUAGAUACAGGUGCUGCAUUGCUGUCGUCAGCUCGUGUCGUGAGAUGUUGGGUUAAGUCCCGCAACGAGCGCAACCCUUUUCCUUACUUGCCAGCAUUUCGUAUGGGAACUUUAAGGAUACUGCCAGUGACAAACUGGAGGAAGGCGUGGACGACGUCAAGUCAUCAUGGCCCUUACGGCCAGGGCUACACACGUGCUACAAUGGUCGGUACAAAGGGUUGCUACACAGCGAUGUGAUGCUAAUCUCAAAAAGCCGAUCGUAGUCCGGAUUGGAGUCUGCAACUCGACUCCAUGAAGUCGGAAUCGCUAGUAAUCGCGGAUCAGAAUGCCGCGGUGAAUACGUUCCCGGGCCUUGUACACACCGCCCGUCACACCAUGGGAGUUUGUUGCACCAGAAGUAGCUAGCCUAACUGCAAAGAGGGCGGUUACCACGGUGUGGCCGAUGACUGGGG